rnacentral:rRNA from 1 species
UCCAACUUGAGAGUUUGAUCCUGGCUCAGAGCGAACGCUGGCGGCAGGCUUAACACAUGCAAGUCGAGCGGGCGUAGCAAUACG